rnacentral:rRNA from 1 species
UUUUUGGAGAGUUUGAUCCUGGCUCAGAGUGAACGCUGGCGGCGUGCUUAACACAUGCAAGUCGAACGAGAACGGGAUAUAGCUUGCUAUAUUUGUCAGCUAAGUGGCGCACGGGUGAGUAAUGUAUAGGUAACAUGCCCUUUACAAGGAAAUAACAGUUGGAAACGACUGCUAAUGUCCUAUAUGCCUUUAAUACUAAAGUAUGCAAGGGAAAGAUUUAUCGGUAAAGGAUUGGCCUGUAUUGUAUCAGUUAGUUGGUGGGGUAAUGGCCUACCAAGACAAUGACGCAUAACUGGUUUGAGAGGAUGAUCAGUCACACUGGAACUGAGACACGGUCCAGACUCCUACGGGAGGCAGCAGUGGGGAAUAUUGCACAAUGGGGGGAACCCUGAUGCAGCAACGCCGCGUGGAGGAUGACACAUUUCGGUGCGUAAACUCCUUUUAUAUAGGAAGAUAAUGACGGUACUAUAUGAAUAAGCGCCGGCUAACUCCGUGCCAGCAGCCGCGGUAAUACGGAGGGCGCAAGCGUUACUCGGAAUCACUGGGCGUAAAGAGCGUGUAGGCGGAUCGAUAAGUCAGGAGUGAAAUCCUAUGGCUCAACCAUAGAACUGCUCUUGAAACUGUCAAUCUAGAGUAUGGGAGAGGUAGAUGGAAUUUCUGG